rnacentral:rRNA from 1 species
AUGGCCCCUAAGCGAGGCGGCAAGGCGCCGGUCCCGGCGAAGAAGAAAACGGAGAAGGUGACCAACCCGCUGUUCGAGAAGAGGACGAAGCAAUUCGGCAUCGGUGGCGCCCUCCCGCCCAAGAAGGACCUCCACCGCUUCGUUAAGUGGCCCAAGGUUGUGCGCAUCCAGCGCCAGCGCCGCAUCCUCAAGCAGCGCCUCAAGGUGCCCCCGGCACUCCACCAGUUCACCCGCACCCUCGACAAGAACCUUGCAACAAACUUGUUCAAGAUGCUUCUUAAGUACCGGCCUGAAGACAAAGUUGCCAAGAAGGAGAGGCUUCUAAAGAGGGCCCAGGCUGAAGCUGAAGGUAAAACUGUUGAGGCCAAGAAGCCAAUAGUUGUGAAGUAUGGCCUUAACCAUGUUACCUACCUAAUCGAGCAGAGUAAAGCCCAGCUGGUUGUCAUAGCUCAUGAUGUUGAUCCGAUUGAGCUGGUUGUGUGGCUCCCUGCUCUUUGCAGGAAAAUGGAGGUCCCUUACUGCAUUGUCAAGGGAAAAUCUCGCCUUGGAUCGAUUGUUCACAAGAAGACUGCCUCUGUUCUGUGCCUGACCACAGUGAAGAAUGAGGAUAAGCUUGAGUUCAGCAAGAUCCUUGAGGCUAUUAAGGCGAACUUCAACGACAAAUUCGACGAGGUUAGGAAGAAGUGGGGUGGUGGUGUCAUGGGCUCCAAGUCGCAAGCGAAGACCAAGGCCAGGGAAAGGCUUAUCGCAAAGGAGGCUGCGCAGCGGAUGAACUAA